rnacentral:rRNA from 1 species
GACGAACGCUGGCGGCGUGCUUAACACAUGCAAGUCGAACGGAAAGGCCCUGCUUUUGUGGGGUGCUCGAGUGGCGAACGGGUGAGUAACAAGUGAGUAACCUGCCCUUGACUUUGGGAUAACUUCAGGAAACUGGGGCUCAUACCGGAUAGGAGCUCCUGCUGCAUGGUGGGGGUUGGACAGUUUCGGCGGUUGGGGAUGGACUCGCGGCUUAUCAGCUUGUUGGUGGGGUAGUGGCUUACCAAGGCUUUGACGGGUAGCCGGCCUGAGAGGGUGACCGGCCACAUUGGGACUGAGAUACGGCCCAGACUCCUACGGGAGGCAGCAGUGGGGAAUAUUGCACAAUGGGCGGAAGCCUGAUGCAGCAACGCCGCGUGCGGGAUGACGGCCUUCGGGUUGUAAACCGCUUUCGCCUGUGACGAAGCGUGAGUGACGGUAAUGGGUAAAGAAGCACCGGCUAACUACGUG